GCCACGUACCGUGUGAGUCGCUGGUCGCUGGAGUGAGUCAAGCGACAGGACAGGAGUGAGGACUAGUGGACAGGCGUGGUGUGUCGUUUUGCGGCGGUUCUGGUGUGAGCUGGUGUGCGCGCGUGUGUGUGUGUGUGGGGUUAGCCGCGACCGUCGUCGGCGCGGGUGCGUUUUGUCGGGACAAGAGCGAUCGGUGGUGCCGGGAAUCAUGCUUGGACGUCUCCCUGCGUGUGUCAUCGACGUGGGCACCGGGUAUACGAAACUGGGAUUUGCUGGUAAUAAGGAGCCUCAGUUGACUAUACCAUCAGCGAUCGCCAUCAAGGAAACAGCUAAGGUCGGUGACAAUAAUGCAAGGAGAAUUACAAAGGGUGUGGAGGACCUGGACGCCUACAUCGGGGACGAAGCAUUCGAGGCCACUGGAUACUCGGUUAAAUAUCCAGUGAGGCAUGGGCUAGUGGAGGAUUGGGACUUGAUGGAGAAGUUUUUACAACAGUGCAUUUUUAAAUACCUCAGGUCAGAGCCUGAGGAUCAUUAUUUCCUUUUAACCGAACCACCUUUAAACACACCAGAGAAUCGAGAGUAUACCGCGGAAAUUAUGUUUGAGUCAUUUAACGUGCCGGGACUUUAUAUAGCUGUGCAAGCUGUUCUCGCCUUAGCAGCCUCAUGGACUGCUAAAAAUGUAGAGGACCGCACUUUGACAGGUGUAGUUGUCGACAGUGGGGAUGGUGUUACUCAUGUAAUUCCAGUGGCAGAAGGUUUCGUCAUAGGAAGUUGUAUAAAACACAUUCCUAUCGCUGGUCGCGAUAUUACCUAUUUUAUACAAAGUUUGCUAAGGGAACGAGAGAUUGGGAUACCUCCUGAACAAUCGUUAGAAACAGCCAAGUCGAUCAAAGAGAAAUACUGUUACAUAUGCCCGGAUAUAUCGAAGGAAUUCGCCAAAUACGAUAGUGAUCCCACAAAGAUUAAGAAAUACGAAGGUAUCAACAAUAUUACUAAGCAACCUUUUGUGGUGGACGUCGGAUACGAGAGGUUUCUCGGACCGGAAAUAUUCUUUCAUCCUGAAUUUUCCAAUCCGGACUUUACAACGCCGCUCAAUGAAAUUGUCGACGACGUGAUUCAAAACUGCCCAAUCGACGUCCGAAGACCACUGUAUAGUAAUAUUGUGUUAUCGGGUGGCUCCACCAUGUUCAAAGACUUUGGUAGGCGAUUGCAACGCGAUAUAAAAAAAAUCGUCGACACGCGGCUCAAGCUCAGCGAAACGUUAAGUGGCAGCCAUAUUACGCCAAAACCAAUAGACGUUCGUGUGAUAUCGCAUCACAAACAACGUUGCGCAGUAUGGUACGGUGGCGCACUGCUGGCGAGCGAUCCAGAAUUCUACACAGUUUGUCACACAAAAAAGGCGUAUCAGGAAUAUGGUCCUGGAAUUUGUCGUUAUAAUCCCGUAUUUCACAGUAUGGUUUAAGAAAUAGGGGACGAGUAUGACGAUCGAAAUCAUUUUUAAGAAUAUUGUCACUUAUGAAUAUAGAUUUGAAUCAACAUGAUUUGAAUCUACAAUUAGAUUAUUAAUGUACGUUUAUUCUUGGUAUUUAAUCAUCGUUGAGGAUGUAUGGCAUACACUUGACGAGGCGCAUUUCCAUAGAAUUUACUGUGUAUUUUAUUUACUGCGAUAGAUAUAUUUAUCAUAUUUACAAGUCUUUAAAAAAAAUGCAUGUAUAAUAACAGAUUUAUGAUGUUAGAAUAAUUAUUUGUCGUUUAAUAGUGAUGCAUAAUAAUGCAACACUACACACCAUUCAAAAGCAAUUUUACACUAAGCAAAAAUUCUAACAAAAUUUUAUACAUGAAAUUUCUUUAUACAUAAAAUCAAAUGAAUUCUAGAAUUAUCUUCUUAAACUAUUGUAUGGACUUGUUUGCAUUUUUACAUGUACUAUUUAAAACAAUGUAUAUGUAUUAUUUAAAAUUGCACUGUUUGGACAGA